UACGUAGGGAGCAAGCGUUGUUCGGAAUUACUGGGCGUAAAGCGCGUGUAGGCUGCUUCGCAAGUCGGAUGUGAAAGCCCUGGGCUCAACCCAGGAAGUGCAUUCGAAACUGCAGAGCUGGAGUCCUGGAGAGGAAGGCGGAAUUCUCGGUGUAGAGGUGAAAUUCGUAGAUAUCGAGAGGAACACCGGUGGCGAAGGCGGCCUUCUGGACAGUGACUGACGCUGAGACGCGAAAGCGUGGGGAGCAAACAGG
rnacentral:rRNA from 1 species